AGAGCGAACGCUGGCGGCAGGCCUAACACAUGCAAGUCGAGCGCCCGUAGCAAUACGGGAGCGGCAGACGGGAUAGUAACACGUGGGAACGCGCCCUUCGGUUCGGAAUAACUCAGGGAAACUUGAGCUAAUACCGGAUACGCCCUUACGGGGAAAGAUUUAUUGCCGAAGGAACGGCCCGCGUCCGAUUAGCUAGUUGGUGAGGUAAUGGCUCACCAAGGCGACGAUCGGUAGCUGGUCUGAGAGGAUGACCAGCAUCACUGGGACUGAGACACGGCCCAGACUCCUACGGGAGGCAGCAGUGGGGAAUAUUGGACAAUGGGCGCAAGCCUGAUCCAGCCAUGCCGCGUGGAUGAUGAAGGCCUUAGGGUUGUAAAGUCCUUUUAACGGGAAGAUAAUGACGGUACCCGUAGAAUAAGCCCCGGCUAACUUCGUGCCAGCAGCCGC
rnacentral:rRNA from 1 species